UUUGGGUAUUUCACUAUGAAUUACAUGCCAAUACUAUGUCAUGUUUUACUUAUUUCUAUGUCCUAUAACUAGCCUUCUAUGCCUAAAACUAAUCCAACUCUCUCGUUCUCCCAAAUUCCCAAAUCUCAUAAAAAUUCAUCCCCUUCAAAUUCUCUUAGAUCUCAGGGAGAUGAAGAUGAAAUCCGCUAGAGUUUGCUACAAACUCUUAUCUUUCCUCUUGCAUUUUUUACAGGGUUGUGAAGACUGAUAUUCCUUUCUAUCAUGUUAAGCCAUGAACACUGACGUAUGGAUCCCAAGGAUGAAGGAAUCAAAGCCAAUCGGAGAGUUGAAGAAGUUAUGCCCAGAGGACCUACUUUUGUUAUAGUUAUUUUGUUAGUAUAAGAGAGGUACAAUCGAAGUGGGCCUAAGACACAAAAUAAAUGGGUCAAAAACACCGGUCCAGAUGAACAGAAAUCGCAUUUGGACCAAACUCUCUCUUUCCCUCUCUUUUACAUUAUUUCGUCUUUAUUUGUUGUUACUUGUCGCUAGUUUUAGGGUUAGAAAAGUUCAAAUUCUCCGCAAGACGCUAUUUCACUUUAAAAUCUUAAUUAAAUCAACCAAAUAUAAAUAAACAUAGAAAUUUGCGAG
rnacentral:lncRNA from 1 species